rnacentral:piRNA from 1 species
CCCGUGAGAGGGUCAUUGCGGUAGAGCUAG